rnacentral:lncRNA from 1 species
GAAGAGAGAGGGGUCUCUGCCCCCACUGUAUGGCUUUGAUCAUUCAUGGCAUUAGUGAGAAUGCCAGGUGGUCUCUUGGCAUCUGUGUGCGUGGUCCAAUCUGCAUGGCUACGCUGACCGCUGACAUCGCAGCCCCCAUCUCCUACCUAGACACCAACAGAUGUGCCCCACAUAGAGGGAUUAGAAUGAAUUUUGACGAUCCCUGGGCCACUCGAUGUCACAGCUGUCGUGCCCAGUAUGAGGCUUGGGGUCUGUGUGCGUGUUAAGAUGCAACUGCAGGCUUCAGCUCUGCUCCCUGCUCUUGAAAGAAUGCUCAGAAGCCCAGAAGUGGAAGUUUCCAGCCUCCCCAAGGAUGCUUAGCUUUCAGGUACCUGAGGAUGGGGAGACUUGGCCGUGGAGGGGUGGCUCAUGCAGUCUGUGAAUGUUACGGCCAAGUGUGUCAUCAGCAUGCCCAGGGAACGUGGGCUCAGGAGCCCAGGGCAGUAAUUCUUACCCAUGACUCCCUGCUUCUCUGUAGAUUGAUGGCUACAGAUAAAAUGCCCCAUAAUAGGCACAUUCACAUCUGAGGCUGUAACUCAGGCAAGGCUGCUAUUCUUGGGCUAAAGUUUCUUUUCUCCUACAAAGAUUUCUGGAAUACAGUCUCAGAAACCAAAGACUUUCAGAAUUUGGAAGGGAUGUAAAACCUUCACAGUGAAACUCAAACUCACCUUGACCUAAAUUCCCUUCCAUGAGACCCGCCACCUCUUUUGCUCACUUACCCUCCAUACUAAAUUCACAACCAUGCCUAGAAAGCGAUCUGCUCAUUUGGCUACUGUGACUUCUGACUUGCCAAUUUUGGGGUUGGUUUGUUUGUUUGUCCUUUGGCUGUGCCCAUGACACGCAGAAGGUCCUGGGCCAGGAAUUGAACCUGCAACACAGUGGUGACAACACAGGAUUGUGAACCUGCUCAGCCACCAGCAAUUCCCAUGCCAUUUUUGAAUCCUGGACUACUGUUUCGAUGAAGGGUCGUUUAGUUUGUAGGUGUCACACAGAUUUCAGCAAAAUGAAAUAAAUCUUUUCGUGCCCAUAAUGAAGAGUCCAUGGGUAGAUCUGGCUUCAGGUAUGGUUGGAUUCAGGACGUAAAUUAACCUAACAGGACCCGCCUUUGGCCUUGCUUCCUGUGAAUGGCUCCAUUCCCAGGAUCUGCUAUGCUUCUUGGCAGCUCCAUGAUUCUCCCCUUUGGGUUGCAAGAUGGUUCCAGCUGCUGAAAGCCUCAUAUUCUUACAGCACGGAAUGCAGUGAAAUCCAAACAUCUCUUUCCUUCCACCUUGGCCACUGUCUUCUUGUCUCUUAGUGGCUUUAAUUAGUCAGUGACAUGGGAUAUACUGCCUGGUCUGAAACUCCUGGAGCUGGGGGUGGGCUCAUCCUAUGCUGUAGGCAGUGCUGAGAAUGCAGAAGGCGUGGUUUCCCAAAGGGAAUUUUUGUGUUUUUGCAAGAAGGGGGAAGGACAGAUGGAACUUGGGUUGGAUGCACACAUUUUUGCCAUAAUGUUUCUGAUGGUUUCCGCUCCUCCUUGCCAGUUUAAUUUUUUUUCCCUUAUCUUCUUUCCAGGCUGAGUUAAUCACUGUAACUUCUAUGCUUUCAUGGUUCCUUAGAGCAAGCUUCCUCAUAUCAUGUGUGUGUGUGUGUGUGUGUGUGUGUGUGUGUGUGUGUGUGUGUUUGUGUGUGUCUUUAGGACUGCGCCUGUGGCAUUUGGAAGUUCCCAGACUAGGGGUCAAAUUAGAGCUGCACCUACACCACAGCCAUAGCAACUCGGGAUCUGAGCCAUGUCUGCAACCCGCAGCUCGUGGCAGUGCCUGAUCCUUAACCCACUUGGCGAGGCUAGGGAUGGAACCUGUGUCCUCAUGGAUGCUAGUCAGGUUCCUUACCCCUGAGCCACAGCGGGAACUCCCGUAUCAUAUUUUGGUUGUUCCUUUGCAUGCCUGUCUCCCCCAGCAGGCUUUGAGACCCACCAAAGAAGCCACUGUGCCUUAUUCAUUUUGCACUCUACCAACCCUACGACUAUGCUAGUAGACAGCUGGGAUUAGUAAGUGUUUAUUGAAGGAAAGGAUGAUAUUCUCGAUGGUUCUGUCAUUUUAUUGCCUGAGUCUUCACUGUUACAUUUGAAAACCGGAGUUCCUGUUGUGGCUCAGUGGUUAACGAAUCCGACUAGGAACCAUGAGGUUGCGGGUUCGAUCCUUGGCCUCAAUCAGUGGGUGAAGGGUCUGGCAUCGCCGUGAGCUGUGGCGUAGGUCGCAGGUGCGACUCGGAUCCCAAGGUGCUGUGGCUGUGGUGUAGGCUGGUGGCGAUAGCUCCGAUUAGACCCCUAGCCUGGGAACCUCCACAUGCCGCAGAUGUGGCCCUCGAAAAG